UUUAAUUAUUUUCACCCAAAUAAAAUCGUGAAUUCACUAAGUUUUCUCUUCUUCACUCCCUCUCCAACAAUUCCCGCCGUUCAUUUCUUCUCAGCGCACGAACUCCUCCGACGACCUCUGCGCCGCCGUUCCUCCGACGACCUCCGCGCUGCCAUUCCUCCGCCCGCCGCCGGUAUCUUACAUCCCCUUCUUCUCGGAGGUGAAGCCCUAAAAUCCCUAAAUCCCCAAAUUCUUCCUCACCUAAAAUCCCCAAACACUAUUGUUGCCGCCGACGACCUCCGCCCCGGACAGCCACUGCAUACGCCGGUAAUUACUCUUCGCGCCGCUACGGUACGUCUCGCUGCUGCGGACUAGGGUUUUUGCUUCUACCGAGAAUGCUUUUUUGAAGCAGCCUAAGGUGUUUCUUUGGUGCCUGUUUGUUUAAUACCCAUGCUGUCGGAGUGCGUCGACCUGCCCCAUGAUCUUGCUCUACAGAUAUGGUAUGUAUAAUUUAAGAGUAAAGAGAUGUCGAAAGUCAACAGCUUGUUGCUGGAGAAAGGGUUGUGGGAAUUUUGUAUUAUGUGAUGCAAACUUGCUAGGUGCGUCUC